CAUUGCCCCGGGCCCACCGGAGCCGUCUGCCGGUUAGCUUCCUCUUGCCUCCUCCUCCACCACCACCGAGGGUUUCCAUUCUUGGCCGAUUACUCCCUUGCUGGGUUGACCUCCCUUGCUCACUGAAAGCCACUGAAUCCUGAAAGAAGAAAUCUUGGCAGGGCAAGGAAGAUAUGCCAAGUUUGGGUUUCGGCUUCCUGGCCAAUAAGGGCCAGUGUAUCUCAAGAAAGGCUGAUGCCCUGGUGCCAUUGUGGACCCAGACGCUGGACUGGGGACAGAGUGAAGGAAAUUGGCUUUACCUACUGCCCUCCAACUCUAGGAAGAAGGAAGGAGACUUUGCGCAUGACCGCCAUCCUCGUCUUUUCCAGCCCAUCCUUGGUCCCGCUCUUGGCAGCCUUCAUGAGCUGGGUCAUCUAAUAGAAGAGAAGAGGAAAAGCUUGUCAGAAGCAGAGAGCAGGGCAUCCUUGUGCCUUUGACCUCAUGGUUCUAGCCCAAGACACUCCCCAUCUCCUGGGCUCACUCUGGGCUGUGAGCAGCACCAUCUCAGCCUGGACAGCGCCUUCCAUGGGGCAUAUGCCCAAUGAAUAUUUGCUGAAUCAAAUUGAACACAGAAUGGGGCUCCUAGCCACCCCUGCCUCCUUUUCCAUCUUUCUGUCCUUCUUACUGAGAGAUGAUCUCUAAGGUCAUAAAUGAAUGAGACCAAUGUGGGAGGCAGUAUGAUGUAGUAGAAACAUUAACAAUAAAUCAUUUUAAAGGUU